rnacentral:rRNA from 1 species
GAUGAACGCUAGCGGCAGGCCUAACACAUGCAAGUCGAGGGGUAGAGGAAGCUUGCUUCCUUGAGACCGGCGCACGGGUGCGUAACGCGUAUGCAAUCUACCUUAUACAGAGGGAUAGCCCAGAGAAAUUUGGAUUAAUACCUCAUAGUAUUAUGAAAUCGCAUGGUUUUAUAAUUAAAGUUCCAACGGUAUAAGAUGAGCAUGCGUCCCAUUAGUUAGUUGGUAGGGUAACGGCUUACAAAGACAAUGAUGGGUAAGGGUACUGAGAUGGGGGUCCCCCACACUGGUACUGUGACACGGACCAGACUCCUACGGGAGGCAGCAGUGAGGAAUAUUGGUCAAUGGACGCAAGUUUGAACCAGCCAUGCCGCGUGCAGGAUGACGGUCCUAUGGAUUGUAAACUGCUUUUAUACAGGAAGAAACACUCCCUCGUGAGGGAACUUGACGGUACUGUAGGAAUAAGGAUCGGCUAACUCCGUGCCAGCCGCCGCGGUAACAC